UACGUAGGGGGCAAGCGUUGUCCGGAUUUAUUGGGCGUAAAGAGCGUGUAGGCGGCCAGGUAGGUGGGUUGUGAAAACUGGAGGCUCAACCUUCAGACGUCGACCCAAACCCCCUGGCUAGAGUCCGGAAGAGGGAGAGUAGGAAUUCCGUGGUGUAGCGGUGAAAUGCGCAGAUAUCAGGAAGAACACCCGUGGCGGAAGGCGGCUCUCUGGGACGGUACUGACGCUGAGACGCGAAAGCGUGGGGAGCGAACAGG
rnacentral:rRNA from 1 species